GGUUCGACAAACACCUACGCCGCUGAAGAAGAAGUAGAAGAAAAAGAAGAAGAGAAAUAAAGCAGAAUCAUGUGGGGAUCUCUGUCCGCUGCUCUGUUUGUUUCUGUGUUUCUGCUUCCAGCCGUCAGUCAGUCGCACUCUGCCCUUCCAGAGGACUUUGAGGGAUCAGGAUACGACCUGGAGAGCUCUGGUUCCGGAUCAGGAGAUGGAUGGGAGCAGGAUGAAGUCACAAACAUCAAGGUUCAAAACAACAGCUAUGGAGGCAGAAAACUCACAGGAGGUGGAAACAAGAACACGUUACCAGGUUCCUCAGAUCUGACCUCUGAUGGCACACGCUGGCCGGCAACAGACGACAAAUCAGAAUUGGUUUUUAUUGAAAGCAGCAAGCGGUUCUGGGAGAAUGAAGAAAUCUGCGCAGCCUUUAUUGCAGGGGGAGUCGCAGGAGUCGCAAUCGCUGCUGCAGUGUCGGCGGUUUUAAUCCAUAAGAGGCAGAAGAAAGACAAGGAGGGGCACAUUCUGGGUUGGAGAAGGGCGUCGGACGAAGAUUAUCACAAACCCAUAAGGGAUGCAGUUAUUGUUUAACUGUCAGGCCGAUGGUUGCUUUAUAGGUUGAUGAAAGUGGGUCGACUUCUGCAGCCGGAGAGCUGCUGUAAAAGCAUUCUCUCCUUGUGUUUUCUGGGAGGACGGUGCAGAUGAUGUAGCUCUCACAUGCAUCUGAUGUCAUGCAUUGAUAAUUUAUUUAUAUUUAAAAUAAAAUGUAAAGAAUCGCUCUUAUCUGGUGACCUUUUAGUUACCAAGCUAAUUUGGAUCCACACAGGGUAGCUGUAGCUAGCACUGAGGUCAUGCUCUCGGUGUUUUAGAAGAUGCAACCAAGUGUAGCUUCAUUUUUUUUCUUAUUUUGAAAUCCAUUGUCAGCAGUAAUCUUACAGAAUAAUGAUUAAAGUGAUGCCAUUUUCAGAUUAUGCAAUCCACCCUAGGGUGUCGAUGAUCUUAUCUGACUUCAGUGUUUUUAGUGUAACUGAACAAACAUCUUGUAUAAUUGUACAUUUGAUUGAUUAGUUAUCAAUAUGUACUUUGCUAUGUGACUGUUUUAAAGUGGCAGCUUUUGUUGUUUUCGCGCACACUUUCUUGUAGCAUUUAAAUAAACGAAACUACCUUUAAACUAAGCAGACAGCAACAACAACAACACGAAAAUCCCUUAAGGCCCUCCUCAUGCACUGAACACUCCCACAAGUGCUUUCAAAUAUUCGGCCUCCUCUCAGGACUGUGUGGGUGUCGACAGAAGAUGUUCUACUGGACUUUUUCCACCAACAACAUUCUGACAUCUCGCAGAGGGAAAAGCACAGGUGUAAAUAAUGACCUUAAGGGUGAAUUAAUGCCAUUUAGCUGCUUCAGUUUCCAUAUUUGUGUAUUGUGUAUGCUGGCUCUCUGUCACAGCAUACACAGACACUUAAAGAGAUCAGAAUCAUUGUUAAUGCCUUUAGAUAAAACGUUUCUACAAGUCCAAAUGUAUGUAGCAAACCUUUACAGUAUCUAAAUAAUCCAUGAUUUAUGAGAUAUGAAUUAAAAAGAUAGAGGAAGCUCUUAUAUGUUGAAUGUAAAUGGUAGAUUAGGUAAUGACAGUUGGCUGCUAACACGUUAUGUAGGGUAGAUAUUUGCAUAUAUUUUUGUAUUCCAUAAUUGUUAAUAAAAGAGCUUUGUAACAAUUUAA